UUGUCAGCACCAGAGGCUGAUGCCUUUUAUUAUCUACAGAACAGGUGGACUGUGAUAGUACAGGCUCCCCCACAUGGAUCCGUCAAUAUGUCUUGACCCUCAACUGGCCGUGAAAGGAUAAUUUUUCAGUCUCCAGGGCCAUUCACUUAUUGGCCUCU
rnacentral:sRNA from 1 species